GCACAGUGGAAAAAUAUUGUCUAAGGCUGUUGGACUGCUCUACGAAAUGGCUGGAGACAGAGGACUUUGUAAGACCCAAGUGAAUCCAGAAGGAAGUUCAAUCCCCUCUCUUCUCUAGAUUGAAUGAGAAGUUAGGACAGGCCAGUGGAUAAUGUCUGACUUCACACAGUCUGGGCCAGAGCCUCUGCUGAGAAGUUACAAAGACCAGCAGACGGAAAUGCACUCACGAGCUUUGGCGUCAGUGGCUGCUCUUCACAAGGCUACCCUGCUGCUGUUUGCAGGACCCGGGGAUCAAAAUUGGAUCAUUGGACUUGGAAGCAAGAACCUUCACCUGCUGAGCCAUCUUACCAGCCCCUAAAAUCUGAACUUUCGGAGUGCCAUACCAGCCCUAAAAUUCACAAAUGAAAGAGCAUUUGGAUUUUAGAACAUUUUACUAAAGAUAUAUAACCUGUGUAUGUGUGUGUGUGUGUGUGUGUGUG